rnacentral:lncRNA from 1 species
GUGAAAGCAAGGCCUUCCCUGGGGGCGGAGAUUGUACGAGACUUUGGGAAGUUUCGCUUCCUCUGCAUGGAGCUGGAGAUAGGGAUGUGGAACUUGGGAGAGAGAGAGAGGCAGGAUGGAAGUGUGCAUGCUUGAGUAGAAAGCAAGUGGCACCAAGAGGAGCUAAACAUGCCGGAGAGGAAGAGCAUAGGUGUGAGCCCACAGACUGAGAAAAAUGAACAUCUUUUAGCUGAAAAAAGAUACCUCAGAAAGAUACGUAGAUCUGACUGGAAAUAGUGUAUCUGCCUUGUGAUGCUCAUUUUUCAUUCCUACCCGUCAAUUAUGCAAGGGCUGAUAUUGAAAUUCAGUUGCUCUGGAGCUAGGAAGAAAGACAGAAAAGAAAAAGAAAGAAAAAAGACAAUGACAACACAUACACCAAAAAUUAACAUUCUGGAAUCAUGGGCACGCAAGGGAUGCAUUGUCAGAAAAAUUGGACUAUGGUACCCAGUCAUCCUGUCAAACACUAAUCCAGAUGUGAAGGACUUUGGUGGGUAUGGUUAGCAUCAAUCACCAGUCAACUUUAAGUAAAGCAGAUUACCCUCCACAAUGUGGGUGAGUCUCAUCCAAUCAGUUGAAGACUGUAAGUGCAAAAAUUGAGGUUUCCUGGAGAAGAAGGAAUUCUGCCUCAAGACUGUAACCAAGAAAUCCGGCCUGAGUUUCCAGCCUCCUGCUCUAUGGAUUUUUGGCUCAAGACUGCAACAUCAACUCUUAUUGAACUUCCAGCCUGCUCACCCGCCCUACAGAUUUCAGAUUUUCCAGUCCCCACAAUCAUGUGAAUCAAUUUCUUAAAAUAAAUAUAUCCAUAUAUUUAUAUCUAUGUUUAUCUAAUCUCCUAUUGGUUCUGGUCCUCUGGAGAAUCCUACUCAUAAUACCUCUGUUGUCAUUCUUCUUCUCUAGUGCAAAGAGGUAAAGUUUGGAAGAC